GACAGGAAGUCCAGUGGAAAGAGCCGGGGAUUGAAAAUCCUCGUGUCGGUGGUUCGAUUCCGCCCCCGGGCAGCA
rnacentral:tRNA from 1 species